CGAAGCAACGCGAAGAACUUACCAGGCCUUGACAUGCAGAGAACUUUCCAGAGAUGGAUUGGUGCCUUCGGGAACGUCUGACACAGGUGCUGCAUGGCUGUCGUCAGCUCGUGUCGUGAGAUGUUGGGUUAAGUCCGUAACGAGCGCAACCCUUGUCCUUAGUUACCAGCACGUUAUGGUGGGCGACUCUAAGGAGACUGCCGGUGACAAACCGGAGGAAGGUGGGGAGUGACGUCAAGUCAUCAUGGCCCUUACGGCCUGGGCUACACACGCGCUACAAUGGUCGGUACAAAGGGUUGCCAAGCCGCGAGGUGGAGCUAAUCCCACAAAACCGAUCGUAGUCCGGAUCGCAGUCUGCAACUCGACUGCGUGAAGUCGGAAUCGCUAGUAAUCGUGAAUCAGAAUGUCACGGUGAAUACGUUCCCGGGCCUU
rnacentral:rRNA from 1 species